AUGGAAGAGGAGAUCGCCGCAGUCAUCCUCGACAAUGGCUCCGGCAUGUGCAAGGUGGGCUUUGCUGGGGAUGACGCCCCCUGAGCCGUGUUCCCGCCCAUCGUCGGGCGACCCCGACACCAGGGUGUGAUGGUGGGCAUGGGCCAAAAGGACUCCUAUGUGGGCGACGAGGCCCAGAGCAAGCGGGGCAUCCUGACCCUCAAGUAGCCCAUCGAGCGCAGCCUUGUCACCAACUGGGACGACAUGGAGAAGUUCUGGCACCACACCUUCUACAACGAGCUGAGCGUGGCCCCCAAGGAGAACGCCAUGCUGCUGACCGAGGCCCCGCCCUGAAUCCCAAGGCCAACCACGAGAAGAUGACCCAGAUCACGUUCGAGACCUUCAACACCCCAGCCAUGUACGUGGCCAUCCAGGCUGUGCUGUCCCUGUAUGCCUCUGGCCGCACCACUGGUAUUGUCAUGGACUCUGGGGAUGGGGUCACCCGCACUGCCCCUCUACGAGCGGUACGCCCUGCCCCACGCCAUCCUGUGUCUGAACCUGGCUGGCCGGGACCUGAUGGACUACCUCACAAAGAUCCUCACGGAGCGUGGCUACAGCUUCACCACCACCGCCGAGCGGGAAAUCGUGCGUGACAUCAAGGAGAAGCUGUGCUACGUCACCCUGGACUUCAAGCAGGAGAUGGCCACAGCUGCGUCCUCCUCGUCCCUGGAGAAGAGCUAUGUGCUGCCUGACUGGCAGGUGAUCACCAUUGGCAACGAGCGGUUCCACUGCCCAGAGGCUCUCUUCCAGCCUUCUUUCCUGGGUAUAGAGUCCUGUGGCAUCCACGAGACCACCUUCAACUCUAUCAUGAAGUGUGACAUGGACAUCCGGAAGGACCUCUACACCAACACGGUGCUGUCUGGCAGGACCACCACGUACCCUGGCAUCUCCAACAGGUUGCAGAAGGAGAUCACAGCUCUGGUGCCCAGCACGAUGAAGAUCAAGAUCAUCGCUCCUUCUGAACGCAAGUACUCGGUGUGGAUCGGGGGCUCCAUCCUGGCCUCGCUGUCCACCUUCCAGCAGAUGUGGAUCAGCAAGCAGGAGUAUGACAAGUCAGGCCCCUCUGUUGUGUACCACUAAGGCUCCUGGUACUCCAUUAUACACUCUCUUCAUUAUGCAUUAUCUUCAUGUGCACAUUUUCAUUGAGAAAACUUCUAGGGAUUAGUUCUUUUUGUAACUAUGAGUUCAUUAUCCAUCUCCCUUGCUAGACUGAGGCUCCAAGGUGCCCUCACAUCUGUAUUUCACCCAACAAUGUGAAUAAGUGACUCAUUAAUGACAUGUCAUUCUCAAUUCUUCAGCCUGUGACAUGGUUAGUUCCGAUUAGCUCAUUUCUAAACUUGUGGCUUUCGGCAUGACAAAAGGGAAGUACAAAGGUGCAUGAAACUGCUAAGUUAAAUUGUAGGACUUUGGGUGAUUGACCUUGAGAAGGAGUGGGUUUUGAAAGCCAUUCCAUUCUCUGUCCCUUUUAGAACAGAAGCUUGAAUCUGUAUACACCAUUUUUGCCAAGAGAGUUAAAUGGAUGGCUGUGGAGGGAGUGCAUUUACAUGGCUUUUCCAGUAACAUGAAGCUUUAAGCCCAUGGAACUGUCCCCAAACAAAAAUUUGGUCUUGGCCACCUAGCUUCUCCCACCCUGGUGAGUCAGGUGGAAAAGUGGGGUAAGUGGUCCUAGAGGGUGUUGUCCUAAGGCUCGCUUUCUCCUGUAAGGGGCACCACUGCCUCAGUUUCCAUGGCCAAAUAAAGGAAAUGCUGCAUCAA